GCGUUCCUCGUGUUCGUCGCCGGUUGUUAGCCGUCUCGUCGCACGGCUCGUAGCCCGACCGUGGUGUCGCGAGGCCCCUCAUGGGCCUCUCCGCCUCCUCCUGUAAAAGGUAGCGAGCAAGAACUCGGCAGGAGUUCGACCCCCUGCGGGCGCACGGACCGACUCCGUGGCCCAGCGUCGGGUCGUCUUCGUUGGCCGGGACGGGCUCGUCGGAGUGUCGGCGGUUGGCGGCGAGUAGAUCGGUCACCCACCCGACCCGUCUUGAAACACGGACCAAGGAGUCUAACAUGUGUGCGAGUCAAUGGGUCUCGAAUAAGCCCAGAGGCGCAAUGAAAGCAAAGGCCGGACUCGACUCCGUGCCGCGUUGGGAUCCCCUCUCCCUCGCGGGAGGGGCGCACCAACGACCCGUCCUGUUCCACUUGUGGAUUGGGCGGAGUCCGAGCAUACACGUU
rnacentral:rRNA from 1 species